rnacentral:lncRNA from 1 species
AAACCACCAUACCAAGAAGCCUAGAGAAGCCCCACUGCUCAGAGAGAUGAUAAUUGACAGAGACACGAAAAGGGCCACUAUCCCACUGCCAGGUGAUGGCAUCGGAUGACUGCUCCUUCAGAGAUGGGACUGAACCUGCACCACUACUGCUUCACCUGUCACUACUGCUGGCUGCUGAGGUCACAUGCACAAGUCCUAACCUUGUCAUUGAGUUCAGAUGCAUGCAUUCAAUGGAUCCAGCUCAGUAUUUCUGCUCAGAGGAUGUGUAAGCCUGUAAAGUGCCCUGCUCUCUUCCCCUGCUAAGAGAAGAUAUUUUGGAGUCUGUGAUUCUCAUCUUGUUUGGAAGGGAGUUUUUGUUCUUUUGGGAUUAUUAAUUUGUAUUAUUAUUAUGUUUGUUUUAAAAAACAUUUUCUGUUGUGGUGUGUGUGUGUGUGUGUGUGUGUGUGUGUGUGUGUGUGUGUGUGUGUAGAGAAUGGCCCAUGGGAGUUGGUUCUCUUCUUCCACCAUGCAAAUACUGGAGAAUGAAUUCAGAUGGUCAGACCUGGUGGCAUCUAUACCCACUGAGCCACCUCAUUGACUCUUAUCACUUCAGCUGUGACUAACUUAAAGAUUUUAAGGAGAUGUUUAUUCUGGAUUAUAUGUGGGAUAUGAGAUGGAACAGUAUGUUUUGUUAUAAUACAAAAAGAGAAAAAUAUCUGGGCAGGAGUGAAGACAAGCAGAAGAGGCAAAAUGACCAUGGGGGUCAGAUCACCCAAACAUGAAAUUGGCAAGGCAUGGGCUCUGCCUUAAGUUCCCAAAGGAAGUAUGUCUCUUCUGUCACCUGAAAUUCAGCCUUGUGAACAUGACUUUGCAUUCUGGUAUCUAGGAUGGUGUCUGUCAUCUUUAGACACCACAACUGUGAUAAUUUGUCACAUAGCCAUGAUAAACAGAUGCAGAUGACUAAUAAUAGGUCCCCAGUGAUUCCCUCUGCUGUUAGCUGAGAAUCAAGUCCUUAUGACUCAUUCCUGUCCUGUGGGGUGUCCCCUCCUUCAGUGUGCUCUGUCCUCACAGCACAGAAAGAUUCCUAGUCCCACCCUGUGCCCUGUGUUUCUUCUGUCCUGGACUUGUGCACUAGUGUUUGUCACAUUAGAAGCUUAUCAUUAUUCAGGUCAUGUAUCCCACCCCAGAACUGUCCAUCUAUGUCUGUAUCUCUGGAGAUCUGCCUUUGUAUCAAGUUAUUAUCUGUCUAUCUACCUAUGUGUCUGUCUGUCUAUCAUCUAUCACUUAUCUAUUAUUUAUCAGUCAUCAAUCUUUUUAUCUACCUAUCUACCAUCUCUCACCUAUUAUUUAUAAUUCAUAUACCAUUUAUCUAUCACAUUUCAUUUAUCUAUUAUUUAACCAUCAUCAAUCUAUCAUAUCUUUAUCUAUUACAUAUCACCAAAUAUUAUUUAUCAAUCAUCUAUCUGUCAUCUAUCUAUCUAUUCAUCUAUCUAUAUAUCUAAUCUCUAUCUUUUCUGUUUGUCACCUAUUACAGUUAUCUAUCAUCUGUCAUCCAUCUACUAUUUUUCUACCUAUCAUCCAUCAUCUACCUAUCAUCUGUAUAUUUAUUUAUAUAUCAUCUAUCUCCCUUUCUUGCUAUGAUCUACCCUCUUUCUAUCUACUAUCUAUUAUCUAGCUACAUGAUUUGUAAAACAUACCUGUAUCUAUAGCUCGACUGUACAAUAAGACUGUCAUUGAUAAUCUUCUAUACUAUGAAACAUGAUAACAUAACUAUCUGUAACUGUAGCAUUUGUGCUAUGUGUGCUAUGACCAAACAACUAAACUUUGCUUUUUCUUAAAUUUUGAUGAAUCUAAAUUUAUGUAAUACUUUCACAAAUGUUUUCCAUAUGCUAGAUUUUUAAUGGUCAUCAAACUAUACAAAUCCCUAUGAGAUAUUAUUACCAUCUGCAUUUGUAGAAAGGGCCAUUAAAGCUUAAAGAGGUUGAUCAAUUUGGAACUAAGACCAAGGUCUGUUUGAAAUGUGUAUUAUUACGUAAGAGCCAUCUGUCAUAUUGCUUCUCUCUCAUAGGAAAAUCUACAAAUGGACGGUUUGGAAUCAAACUGUAUUAUACUUUAAUUUUCUGUCAAUAUUCUGUUACUCCAUAGCUUAUUCAUAAUUUCAUUUAGGACUCAAUAAAAUGCAUCCCACAAACAAAUCCACUCUAUUUAGGGCUCAGCUGUUUAUUUUUGUCUCCAUAUUGUCUACAGCUACCUUGGUUCAAGAGUGACUGAACUGAGCAGUGAUGGGGAGUACUUCUCAGACAGAAAACCUAAAAUGAUGAUCAUCUGGGUCUUAGCAUGUAACAUUUGUUAAUGAUGACUGAAGAAAUAUAUGUAUAUGUUUGUGAAUGUGAGUGUGCUUAUGUGUAUGUAUAAAUCCAUAUUCAUGUAUGCAUGGGUAUAUAUGUAUGUGUAAGUGGAUGGGUAUAUUUGUGCAUCUAUGUCUGUCUGUGAGCAUAUAUGUGCAUGUGUGUGCAUAAAUAUAUGUAUGCACAUAUAACUGUGCAUAUGUAUAUAUGUGUCUGUGUAUGCAUAUUGUGUAUUUGUGUGUGGAGCAUGCUGUGUUGUGUAAAUGUCCUAUAUGGGGUGUCUCCAUUCCCUGUAUGUUUGUGUGUAUGUGUAUGCAUGGGUGUGUGUGUGCGUGUGUGUGUGUGUGUGUGUGUAUGUGUGCAUGUGUGUGUGAAUGGUUGGGUAUAUUUGAACAUGUGUAUGUCCAUCUGCACAUAUGCAUAUAUGUGUAUGUGUGUUCAUAUAUAUGUGCACACAUGAGUGUCCAUAUGUAUAUAUGUGUCUCUGUGUGUACAUAUUUUUGUGUGUGCAUGUGUAUAUGUAUAUACCCAUGUGUUUUUCUUGGUGAGUAAUCAAACCUGAAUGAUUAUGUUGUCUUUCAAGGAAAACAUUUUCAGACUAUUUAUAACAAGUAUAUAAAUGCUCAUUAACAUUUUGUAAUUAAUAUUCAUGUAUAUUUUCUAUAGUUAUUAUAUUCAUAUAAUUUUUCAAAUCAUUUUAAAAUCAGUAUGUGUUUACAAAGGUUUAAGGUAGCAUAAAUGAUUUUAAAAUUCCCCUAUUACUGUACCAUUUACAUGUAGCUACUAUUUUACACUGGCAUGUUUCCUUCUUGACAUUGGUGCUUCUGCAUCCAAGACUAUACUAUGUGAGGCACAACUUUGUGUGUAAUUGUGGACAUGCAUGUGACUCUGUGUGUGUGUAUGUUUGUGUAUGUAACUGCACAUAUAUGUGAACGUUCAGAUGUGUUUCUGGCUGUAAUUCUGUCUGUGUAUGCAUCUGUGUGUAUGCAUCUCAGCAUGCGCAAGUGUGUGUGUCCAUGAAAUAAUUUUGACUUUGGAUGGGAAUGGGGACUCCCCGUACAGGACAUUUCCACACCACGGCAUGCUCCACCUAAGUGACAGCCACUCAAUCAAUCGUGUGAUCUCACUGUUUCAUCUCCUCCUAAAGGAUCAUACCAAAACAGAGCAAGAGAACUCUGUGAGGCAGAGGACCUAGGAGUCCCUGUGACCACAGACUCUUUGGUGAUUUAAUAUUUUGGAUCCUAUGGGUCACAACAACUGUAGUGUUCAUUGCUGCUGGC